ensembl:lncRNA
UCACCACAAUUACUCAGAGCCUCAGCAGCACUGAACCAGAGAGCUCACAACACGGCUCGAGCCAUCGAGAGAGAAAGACUGACAGAGACGGACAGACUCCUCCAGGUCAGGUUCCCGUUGACCCUCCAGAGUCGAGUCAGGUUCCCGUUGACCCUCCAGAGUCGAGUCAUGUUCCCGUUGACCCUCCAGAGUCAAGUUACGUUCCAGUUGACCCUCCAGAGUCGAGUCAGGUGCCAGUUGACUAUCCAGAGUCGAGUCAAGUUCCUGUUGACCUUCCAGAGUCGAGUCAGAUUCCAGUUGACCAUCCAGAGUCGAGUCAGGCUCCUGUUGACCAUCCAGAGUCGAGUCACAUUCCAGUUGAUCCUCCUGAAUCAAGUCAGAUUCCUGUUGACCUUCCAGAGUCGAGUCAGGUGCCCGUUGACUUUCCAGAGUUGAGUCAGGUUCUGGUUGACCCUCCAAAGUUGAGUCCGGUGCUCAUGGACCCUCCAGAGUCGAGUCAGGUGCUCAUGGACCCUCCAGAGUCAGGGUUAGUCACCAUUGACCUUCCGGAGUCAGGGCUAGUUACCAUGGACUUUCCAGAGUCAAGGCUAGUCACCGUUGACCUUUCAGAGUCAAGUCAAGUCACUGGUGAUCUUCAAGGACAGAGUCAAGUCACUGGUGAUCUUCAAGGACUGAGUCAAGUCACUGGGGAUCUUCAAGGACCGAAUCAAGUCACUGGUGAUCUUCAAGGACCGAGUCAACUCACUGGUGAUCUUCAAGGACCGAGUCACGUCACCGGGGUUCUUCAUGGGAGAAUUCAAGUCACCAGUGAUCUUCAUGAACAAAGGCAAGUCACCACUGAUCUUCAUGAACAAAGCCAAGUCACCAAUGAUCAUCAUGAACAAAUGCAAGUCACCAAUGAUCUUCAUGAGCAGAGUCAAGUCAGCAUCGAUCUUCUGGAAUCCAGUAUAAACACCAUGGGAUUACAAGAGUCUCUUCACUCCUCUGUGGAACUACCAGAGCCUCUCCACGACUCGGAUGAACUACCAGAACCAUUCCAUGUCUCUGCGGAACUACCAGAGUCUCUCCUCGCCUCUGCGGAACUUCCAGAGACUCGUCAUGUCUCAGUAGAUCUCUCUGAGCACCCGACUGUUCCUGUUGUGGCCACGGAGGCUACCCUUAACAUGUUCAUGUUCUAUGUUUCAGACUUGCCCAACCAGACUUGUCCUCCUGUUGGUCCGGCCGCACGGAUGUGGUGGUCUUCUGCUCCGCCCUGGGGGGGCUUCCGCCCUGACCACAUGGUUGUGGUGGUCUUCUGCUCCGCCCUGGGGGCUUUCUGCCUCAACUACAAGGGAGUGGUGGUCGUCUGCUCCGCCCUGGGGGGCGUCUGGUUCGACCACGCGGACGUGGUGGUCUUCUGUUCUGCCCUGGGGGGCUUCCGCCCUGACUACACGGUUUUGGUGGUCUUCUGCGCCGCCCUGGUGGGCGUCACGUGAUGUCCUUCUUG